GGGGACCCGCACAAGCGGUGGAGCAUGUGGUUUAACUCGAUGCAACGCGAAAAACCUUACCACUCCUUGACAUGGAAAUUAUACCUAUUCGAAGGGAUAGGGUCGGUUCGGCCGGGUUUCACACAGGUGUUGCAUGGCUGUCGUCAGCUCGUGUCGUGAGAUGUUGGGUUAAGUCCCGCAACGAGCGCAACCCUCAUCCUUAGUUACCAUCAGGUAAUGCUGGGGACUUUAAGGAGACUGCCAGUGAUAAACUGGAGGAAGGUGGGGAUGAUGUCAAGUCAUCAUGGCCCUUAUGGAGUGGGCUACACACGUGCUACAAUGGUGGCUACAAUGGGCUGCAAAGUCGCGAGGCUAAGCCAAUCCCUUAAAAGCCAUCUCAGUUCGGAUUGUACUCUGCAACUCGAGUGCAUGAAGUUGGAAUCGCUAGUAAUCGUGGAUCAGCACGCCACGGUGAAUACGUUCUCGGGUCUUGUACACACUGCCCGUCACGCCAUGGGAAUUGGUUUCACUCGAAGCUAACGACCUAACCGCAAGGAGGGAGUUAUUUAAAGUGGGAUCGGUGACUGGGGUG
rnacentral:rRNA from 1 species